AGAGAAAGUCGUCCCCAUCGAAAAGCAAGUUGAACCUUGCAUCACUGAAUCCCAGCUCUGUCACUUAGUCGAAACACACUCGAAAAAGUCGAAACCAAACCCUUCUUGUGUUACUUUCUUCAUCACUUCACUUCCCUUCACUUUUAGGUCAGGUCAGUUACUCUAUCUUUCUUUCUUCCCUCAAAAUCAAAACACUCUACAAAUUUAAAAAAUACAAUUGAAUACUAUAUAUAUAAUUUUGCUAUGGCCUAAAGUGUCUGACCCAUAACUAAAAGGUUUAAUGUAUAUAUAAUCAAUUUUUCAUAUACUUUCAGUUUGUACUUGGUUUUGGUUUCUUAUUAUCCACAUGUAUCCAAAUCUAACCUAAUAGGUCUACCCUUCUACAAUCCUUGCACUUGCAAUUGAAUUGAAGAAAGAAAAAAUAUUUUUACAUUUGUG
rnacentral:lncRNA from 1 species